UCUCUCUCUCUCUCUCUCUCUCUACACACACACAACACAUUGGAUAAACUUACCACCCACCCCCAGAAAAAUUCCCAACACACAUUGAAUAAUUUAACCUUAGAAUCUACAUGUACAAACAUGCACCUGCCAUACAGGAUAAUAUGAGCUGCAUGGCGAAUUUUUAUUUUUUUUGGGUGAACCAGUGGGGAUGACGGGCCCUAGACGUUUUAUUUAUACAUGGUCAAAUUUUUGCCGUUGAGGUAGAAGCAUCCCUCAAAAUGAGCUGACUCUCUCUCUCUCUUUCUCUCUCUUAUCUAUUUAUCUAUCUAUAUGUGCGUGUGAGUGAGUGAAAGAUAUUUGUUUUCAAUUAAAGGUAGCUAUGAUGUAUUUUGUUUUCUUUGUUGUUUGUUCUAUGCACAGGUGAGGUGAGGUUAGGUGGGUGAAUCAGUGUGAACGUAUCGAAAUUUAGGCAAGAGUUUGAUACCUCUGGAUUGCAGUGCUUGAACCCAUUAGCUUUGGAUCCUAAAAUUCGUUUCGUUUUAUGUGAACCUGCCUCUCUGCUGCCACAGCCUGUGAUAACUUUUAUGUGCAUAUGAAUGUAAGAACUGCUAUUUCCUUCUCUCAAAGAGCACAUUUGCCACUACCCCCAUAUACUUUGAGUGCAUGCUGACUAUCUCUCUCUCUCUCAAAGUGCACACUUGCCGCUACCCAUCAACUUGACUUCAAAGAGCAUUGUGACUCUCUCUCUCUCUCGCUCAAUUGGUAAAAGAAUUGAUGAGUGAAAAUUACGUAUAUCGGUCAUUGUUUCAAUUCUUGAAAUCUUUUUGAUGACUUCAAAUUUUAUUUUAAUCUGU
rnacentral:lncRNA from 1 species